rnacentral:rRNA from 1 species
UUACGCUGUUAUCCCUAAGGUAAUUUAGUCUUAUAGUCACUAAAAAUGGAUCAAAAAUAUAUAAAUAAAUAUAUAAAAAUAAAAAGAGUUAUAUUAAUCUUCCCAUCACCCCAACAAAAUUUACAUAAUAUUAAAUUAUUAACCCACAAAAAAUAUAAAUUAAAUCAAACUCUAUAGGGUCUUCUCGUCCCAAAAAAAUAUUUAGGCAUUUUAACCUAAAAUUUAAGUUCAAAAAAAAUAAAAAUUUAAGACAGUAAAUACCUUGUCAAAUCAUUCAUUCCAGUCUUCAAUUAAAAAACUAAUGAUUAUGCUACCUUUGCACAGUCAAAAUACUGCGGCCAUUUAAAAUUCAGUGGGCAGAUACUACAUCAAAAUAUAUACAAGAUGCGAUGUUUUUGUUAAACAGGAG